GACGAACGCUGGCGGCGUGCUUAACACAUGCAAGUCGAACGGAAAGGCCCUGCUUUUGUGGGGUGCUCGAGUGGCGAACGGGUGAGUAACACGUGAGUAACCUGCCCUUGACUUUGGGAUAACUUCAGGAAACUGGGGCUAAUAUCGGAUAGGACCUCCUGCUGCAUGGGGGGGGUUGGAAAGUUUCGGCGGUGGGGGCUGGACUCGCGAAGUAUGAGCUUGCUGGUGGGGUAGUCGUUUCCAAAGGGUUUGACGGGUAGCCGGCCUGAGAGCGUGACCGGCCACAUGGGGACUAAGAUACGGUACAGACUAGUACAUGGGGCAGCAGUGCGGAAAAUUGCACAACGGCCGGAAGCCGGAUGAGGCAACGACGGGUGCGGGAUGACUGCAUUCGGGUGGUAAACCGAUUUAGCCGGUUACGAAGCGUGAAUGACGGUAAUGGGUAAAAAAGCCCCGGCUAACUACGUG
rnacentral:rRNA from 1 species